rnacentral:rRNA from 1 species
CACGUAGGGGGCAAGCGUUGUCCGGAUUUAUUGGGCGUAAAGAGCUCGUAGGCGGUUCGGUAAGUCAGGUGUGAAACCUCCAGGCUCAACCUGGAGACGCCACCUGAUACUGCUGUGACUCGAGUCCGGUAGGGGAGCGUGGAAUUCCUGGUGUAGCGGUGAAAUGCGCAGAUAUCAGGAGGAACACCGGUGGCGAAGGCGGGUCUCUGGGCCGAUACUGACGCUGAGGAGCGAAAGCAUGGGUAGCGAACAGG